GACGAAGGUGGCGAGCGUUGUUCGGUAUUACUGGGCUUAAAGCGUGUGUAGGCGGAAAUGUAAGCGUCUUGUGAAAUCCCUCGGCUUAACCGAGGAAUUGCUUGGCGAACUGCAUUUCUUGAGGCAAGUAGGGGUACACGGAACUCUUGGUGGAGCGGUGGAAUGCGUAGAUAUCAAGAGGAACGCCGGUGGAGAAGUCGGUGUACUGGGCUUGUCCUGACGCUGAGACACGAAAGCGUGGGGAGCAAACAGGAUUAGAUACCCCCGUA
rnacentral:rRNA from 1 species